rnacentral:rRNA from 2 species
ACGGCGAGUGAGCGGCAACAGCUCAAAUUUGAAAUCUGGCGUCUUUGGCGUCCGAGUUGUAAUUUGCAGAGGGCGCUUUGGCAUUGGCAGCGGUCCAAGUUCCUUGGAACAGGACGUCACAGAGGGUGAGAAUCCCGUACGUGGUCGCUAGCCUUUACCGUGUAAAGCCCCUUCGACGAGUCGAGUUGUUUGGGAAUGCAGCUCUAAAUGGGAGGUAAAUUUCUUCUAAAGCUAAAUACUGGCCAGAGACCGAUAGCGCACAAGUAGAGUGAUCGAAAGAUGAAAAGCACUUUGGAAAGAGAGUUAAAAAGCACGUGAAAUUGUUGAAAGGGAAGCGCUUGCAGCCAGACUUGCCUGUAGUUGCUCAUCCGGGUUUUUACCCGGUGCACUCUUCUAUAGGCAGGCCAGCAUCAGUUUGGGCGGUUGGAUAAAGGUCUCUGUCAUGUACCUCCUCUCGGGGAGAACUUAUAGGGGAGACGACAUGCAACCAGCCUGGACUGAGGUCCGCGCAUCUGCUAGGAUGCUGGCGUAAUGGCUGUAAGCGGCCCGUCUUAAAACAACGGACCA